UACUUAGAAAGGUGCCAGUCAC
rnacentral:miRNA from 8 species